AACGCUAGCUACAGGCUUAACACAUGCAAGUCGAGGGGAAACGAUAGAGAAAGCUUGCUUUUUCUAGGCGUCGACCGGCGCACGGGUGAGUAACGCGUAUCCAACCUGCCCACCACUUGGGGAUAACCUUGCGAAAGUAAGACUAAUACCCAAUGACGUCUCUAGAAGACAUCUGAAAGGGAUUAAAGAUUUAUCGGUGAUGGAUGGGGAUGCGUCUGAUUAGCUUGUUGGCGGGGUAACGGCCCACCAAGGCAACGAUCAGUAGGGGUUCUGAGAGGAAGGUCCCCCACAUUGGAACUGAGACACGGUCCAAACUCCUACGGGAGGCAGCAGUGAGGAAUAUUGGUCAAUGGGCGAGAGCCUGAACCAGCCAAGUAGCGUGCAGGAUGACGGCCCUAUGGGUUGUAAACUGCUUUUAUAAGGGAAUAAAGUGAGCCUCGUGAGGCUUUUUGCAUGUACCUUAUGAAUAAGGACCGGCUAAUUCCGUGCCAGCAGCCGCGGUAAUACGGAAGGUCCGGGCGUUAUCCGGAUUUAUUGGGUUUAAAGGGAGCGUAGGCCGGAAAUUAAGCGUGUUGUGAAAUGUAGAUGCUCAACAUCUGCACUGCAGCGCGAACUGGUUUCCUUGAGUACGCACAAAGUGGGCGGAAUUCGUGGUGUAGCGGUGAAAUGCUUAGAUAUCACGAAGAACUCCGAUUG
rnacentral:rRNA from 1 species